AUUGAACGCUGGCGGCAGGCCUAACACAUGCAAGUCGAGCGAGCGGCGGACGGGUGAGUAAUGUAUGGGGACUGCCCGAUAGAGGGGGAUAACUACUGGAAACGGUAGCUAAUACCGCAUACUAUCGGAUAACCCAUAUGGGAUUAGCGAGUAGGUGAGGGAAUGGCUCACCUAGGCGACGAUCCCCAGCUGGUCUGAGAGGAUGAUCAGCCACACUGUGACUGCGACACGGCCCAGACUCCUACGGAGGCAGCAGUGGUGAAUUGUGGACAAGGGGGGAAACCCUGAUCCAGCCAUCCCGCGUGUAUGAUGAAGGCCUUCGGGUUGUAAAGUACGUUUGGCAGAUAAGCGGUAUCUGCAGAAUAAGCACCGGCUAACUACGUGCCAGCAGCCGCGGUAAUUC
rnacentral:rRNA from 1 species